rnacentral:tRNA from 1 species
GCUCCAGUGGCGCAAUUGGUUAGCGCACGGUACUUAUAAGAUGCCGUGGUUGUGAGUUCGAGCCUCACCUGGAGCA